CAAGUACUCCCUCCAUCCGAAAAUACUUGUCAUCAAAAUGGAUAAAAAAGAUGUAUCUAGAACUAAUAUACAUCUAGAUACAUCCCCUUUUAUUCAUUUUGAUGACAAGUAUUUCCGGACGGAGGGAGUACUAC
rnacentral:pre_miRNA from 1 species